rnacentral:lncRNA from 1 species
GGUGUUAGAAAAUUGGAUAGGGUACAUGUGUAGAUUUCAAAAAUCUUUUUAAUCGCGAUGGAAAAAUAAUUAGGUUAAAUUUUUUAACCCCACGUACAUCUUAUCUAAUCCUACCCAAGUUCAGGAGGAAAGACAUACAUAUAAUUUGAAAAUAAAAGUAAGUAUGAGAUCAAAUCUCAAUACCUUAGCAUGGGUAGAAAUUCAUCACAAUCGAUGAUCUCGGGUUCGAAAGUCUCCGAGCCGUAUACAUGUCCAGCCUCUACGGAUAUCCACCGGGAUCAAUCUCGAAUCGAUCUUCUCAUAAUAGAUCUUUCUUCUCCAAACAGGAUCUCAAUCCUUUAGAAUCUUGAUCAACUCUUUGAUCAAGACUAUGGAAUCAACUAUUUGAUCUGCUGCCUUCUUCUCCUCGUUCUUCACUUUAGAAGAUCACCUCAACUUGGUGUGUAGAAAAGUGGGACGCCCAAUCUUUGGGCAUGGGAAAGAGAAGAGGGAGAAGGUGUGGCAUGGAGAAGGGAGAGAGGGAGAGAGAUCUGAUUUUUAAUCAAUAAAAACUCUAACUCCUAAAACCCUAGGAGACCUUCUCAUUAUAUAGGCCUUUCCUUGAUUCAAAAGAGGAAUCCAAUUAACUUAAAAAGAUAUAUCCUUAUCUCAUAAGAAACUCUACUUUUUUAAUCUAAUUUUUUUCAAUAAAAUCAGACUUAAUUGGUAUGUUAUCAUCCUCUUUUGACAAGAAUAUGGAGUGCCCCAGUCAGAUAUGGAAAUCUGAUUGGGCGCCUCAUGUCAUAUAGGGCAGGCAGUUGGGGCGCCAAACCCUUGGCACCCCCAUUCUAGGGUUUUCUUUCAAGAGAGCGGGUGUGGCCCCUCUCUCUCUCCUCCAC